rnacentral:rRNA from 1 species
AAUCAACGCUGGCGGCGUGCCUCAGACAUGCAAGUCGAGCGUGAAAGUUUCCUUCGGGGAGCGAGUAGAGUGGCGCACGGGUGAGUAACACGUAGGUGAUUUACCUUUGGGUGGAGAAUAACAGUCGGAAACGAUUGCUAAUACUGCAUAAUGCAGCGGCUCGACAUCGAGACAGUUGUUAAAGUAGGGUUGAAAGACCUUAUGCCUAAAGAAAAGCCUGCGGCAGAUUAGCUAGAUGGUAAGGUAAUGGCUUACCAUGGCGACGAUCUGUAGCCGGCCUGAGAGGGCGGUCGGCCACACUGACACUGAAUAACGGGUCAGACUCCUACGGGA